GGGGGUUUGAAGUCCACCCAGGCUUCCUACCUGGUGGAUCCGAUUCCUUUCUGCUGCUGUGAGGGGGUGUGGGCGGCGCCUGAUUGGCGUAGUUUCCUGCCUCCCAGCAGAGGGAGCCGUGCUGGAACAGCAUGUAAUUCAGUACUCCCUCGCAGCCCUCCAUCCCACCCAUCCGUACCAUCAUUAUGCGCCCCCAGGCAAAACAGUGCCCUGCAGCCCUGCCUACACACAAC